CAAAAUGUAGCUUAACUAAAGCAUCUCGCUUACACCGAGAACAUGUCCGUGAAACCCAGAUCAUUUUGA
rnacentral:tRNA from 1 species